GAUGAAGAACGUAGCGAAAUGCGAUACUUGGUGUGAAUUGCAGAAUCCCGUGAACCAUCGAGUCUUUGAACGCGAGUUGCGGCCGAAGCCAUUAGGCCGAGGGCACGCCUGCCUGGGCGUCACACGUCGUUGCCCCCCCAUCUACUCCUUCGGGAUUGCGGGGGGCGGAUGAUGGCCUCCCGUGCGCCUCGUCGCGCGGUUGGCAUAAAUGCCAAGUCCUCGGCGACGCACGCCACGACAAUCGGUGGUUGCGAAACCUCGGUUGCCCGUCGUGUGCGGUCGUCGCGCAUCGAGGGCUCGAAAAAAUUGCCGGGCUCCGGCUCGGCUUUCAACGCGACCCCAGGUCAGGCGGGGUUACCCGCUGAAUUUAAGCAUAUCAAUAAGCGGAGGA
rnacentral:misc_RNA from 1 species